CCCAAAACUACCAACUAAAAAACAUAAAAAAUCACUAAACUGUAUUAACGUUGUCUGUCAAAUCAAAACUCAAAUUCGUUAAAUUCAUCAAAAAUUAAAAAUGCCGAAUACACAGAUAACCGAAGCAAGGGAGACAUAUUUAACACUCUUAGAAAUGAGUCAAUUGUUAAAUACAGGUUUAGAUCCGGAAACUUUAACGAUUUGUGUUCGUUUAUUGGAAAGUGAAGCAAAUCCCGAGGCUUUAGCUUCGGUUAUUCGAGAAUUGAGAAAACAAAAAA